rnacentral:snRNA from 1 species
ACUGCUUCUCUGCCUUUUGGUGAAGAUCAAGUGUAGCAUCUGUUCUAAUUGGUUUAAUAUCUGGCAAGUCCUCUGUUUGAGGACUAGAUAUUGAAUGGAUUUUUGGGACUGGGAGAUGGAAUAGGGACUAAAAAAAGUGAAGAAUUAUCAUGACGGCAGCCAGUGAUGAGCGGAGUCCCCCAGGGCUCAGUUCUGGGACUGAUUCUGUUCAACCUUU